rnacentral:rRNA from 1 species
AUUGAACGCUGGCGGCAGGCUUAACACAUGCAAGUCGAGCGGGGGAAGGUAGCUUGCUACCGGACCUAGCGGCGGACGGGUGAGUAAUGCUUAGGAAUCUGCCUAUUAGUGGGGGACAACAUCUCGAAAGGGAUGCUAAUACCGCAUACGUCCUACGGGAGAAAGCAGGGGAUCUUCGGACCUUGCGCUAAUAGAUGAGCCUAAGUCGGAUUAGCUAGUUGGUGGGGUAAAGGCCUACCAAGGCGACGAUCUGUAGCGGGUCUGAGAGGAUGAUCCGCCACACUGGGACGGAGGAACGGCCCAGACUCCUACGGGAGGCAGCAGUGGGGAAUAUUGGACAAUGGGGGGAACCCUGAUCCGGCCAUGCCGCGUGUGUGAAGAAGGCCUUAUGGUUGUAAAGCACUUUAAGCGAGGAGGAGGCUACUUUAGUUAAUACCUAGAGAUAGUGGACGUUACUCGCAGAAUAAGCACCGGCUAACUCUGUGCCAGCAGCCGCCGCAG